GAGGAAUAUUGCGCAAUGGAGGCAACUCUGACGCAGCCAUGCCGCGUGCAGGAAGAAGGCGCUACGCGUUGUAAACUGCUUUUAUCCGGGAAGAAACCCCAGGACGUGUCCUGGGUUGACGGUACCGGAGGAAUAAGCACCGGCUAACUUCGUGCCAGCAGCCGCGGUAAUACGAAGGGUGCAAGUGUUAUCCGGAUUCAUUGGGUUUAAAGGGUGCGUAGGCGGAACAAUAAGUCAGCGGUGAAAGCCCGUAGCUUAACUACGGAAUUGCCGUUGAUACUGUUGUUCUUGAGUACGCUUGACGUGGGCGGAAUGUGCCGUGUAGCGGUGAAAUGCUUAGAUAUGGCACAGAACACCGAUAGUGAAGACAGCUCACGAAGGCGAAACUGACGCUGAGGCACGAAAGCGUGGGGAUCAAAC
rnacentral:rRNA from 1 species